UAUAAAAAGUUAGGUUAGGUUAACGCACUUGUUUUUUUGCGUUUUCUCUCUUCACAUUUUAUGCUUUUCGAAUGAAAUUUUAAUGAAUGUAAAUGUUAGCUUUUAGCCAACUGAAAAUUGAAGUAGAUACAAUCAGGAUACGAGUAUAUCAAUCUAAUGAUAAAGUCACAAAUAAUAUUCAGUAUUAAUUAUUCUCAAUAAUAUUUUUUUAAUGAUGUUAUAAUCAUUUGAAAUUUUUAAAAUAAGGACAUAAAGGGGCCUCAAAGCUUACUGUCACAAGAGAAAUGAUUGGAUAUAGAUUUCAAAACUUUACCGAAGAGGAAUUUGAAAUCAUGAAUAAAACAAUUCAACAUGCGAAGACAAAAUAUGAAAGAUCCAAAAAAUCAAUUAAAAUAUAAAAGUUUGCUUUUCCUUCUACAUACAUUUAAUGUUAUACUUUCCUUUUGUAUUUUUGAAUAAG